GUGACUGUGAAAGUCUCUGUUGUUGUAGAUGUUUCUGAAACACUAAAAGUGGAUGUUUCAGCUGCAGUUGUUGUUAGUGUGGAAGUCUCUGUUGUUGAAGAUAUUUCUGCUACAAUAAUAGUGGAUGUUUCAGCAGGAGUCGUGAUUGUGGAAGUCAUUUUUGUAGAUGUUUCUGCUACACUGAUAGUAGAGGUUUCAGCAGGAAUUGUUGUGAUUGUGGAAUUCUCUGUUGUAGUAGAUGUUUCUGUUGCACUAGUGGUGGGUGUUUCAGCAGGAAUUGUUGGGAUUGUGGAAGUCUCUGUUGUUGUAGAUGUUUCUGCUUCAAUAGUGGUGGAUGUUUCAGCAGGAGUAGUGAUUGUGGAAGUCUCUGUUGUUGUAGAUAUUUCUGCUGCUUUAGUGGUGGAUGUUUCAGCAGGAGUUGUUGUGAGUGUGGAAGUCUCUGUUGUUGUAGAUGUUUCUGCUUCAAUAGUGGUGGAUGUUUCAGCAGGAGUAGUGAUUGUGGAAGUCUCUGUUGUUGUAGAUAUUUCUGCUGCUUUAGUGGUGGAUGUUUCAGCAGGAGUUGUUGUAAGUGUGAAAGUCUCUGUUGUUGUAUAUGUUUCUGCUACACUAAAAGUGGAUGUUUCAGCAGAAGUUGUUGUGAGUGUGGAAGUCUCUGUUGUUGAAGAUAUUUCUGCUACACUAAUAGUGGAUGUUUCAGCAGGAGUCGUGAUUGUGAAAGUCUCCAUUGUUGUAGAUGUUUCUGCUACAUUGAUAGUGGAUAUUUCAGUAGGAAUUGUUGUGAUUGUGGAAGUUUCUGUUGUAGAAGAUGUUUCUGCUGCACUAGUGGUGGAUGUUUCAGCAGGAAUUGUUGUGAUUGUGGAAGUCUUUGUUGUUGUAGAUGUUUCUGCUGCACUAGUGGUGGAUGUUUCAGGAGGAGUCGUGGAUGUGAAAGUCUCCAUUGUUGUAGAUGUUUCUGCUACACUGAUAGUGGAUGUUUUAGCUGGAGUUGUUAUGAUUGUGGGAAUCUCUGUUGUUGAAAAUAUUUCUGUGACACUAGUGGUGGAUGUUUCAUCAGGAUUCG
ensembl:lncRNA